rnacentral:rRNA from 1 species
CUUGUUGGUGGGGUGAUGGCCUACCAAGGCGACGACGGUUAGCCGGCCUGAGAGGGCGACCGGCCACACUGGGACUGAGACACGGCCCAGACUCCUACGGGAGGCAGCAGUGGGGAAUAUUGCACAAUGGGCGGAAGCCUGAUGCAGCGACGCCGCGUGAGGGAUGACGGCCUUCGGGUUGUAAACCUCUUUCAGCAGGGACGAAGUGGCUGGGUUUUCUUGGUCGUGACGGUACCUGCAGAAGAAGCGCCGGCCAACUACGUGCCAGCAGCCGCGGUAAGACGUAGGGCGCGAGCGUUGUCCGGAUUUAUUGGGCGUAAAGAGCUCGUAGGCGGCUUGUCGCGUCGACUGUGAAAACCCGCGGCUCAACUGCGGGCUUGCAGCCGAUACGGGCAGGCUAGAGUUCGGUAGGGGAGACUGGAAUUCCUGGUGUAGCGGUGAAAUGCGCAGAUAUCAGGAGGAACACCGGUGGCGAAGGCGGGUCUCUGGGCCGAUACUGACGCUGAGGAGCGAAAGCGUGGGGAGCGAACAGGAUUAGAUACCCUGGUAGUCCACGCUGUAAACGUUGGGCGCUAGGUGUGGGGGGCCUCUCCGGUUCUCUGUGCCGCAGCUAACGCAUUAAGCGCCCCGCCUGGGGAGUACGGCCGCAAGGCUAAAACUCAAAGGAAUUGACG